rnacentral:lncRNA from 1 species
CUGAACAGAUGGCUCAUGCAGUACGAGAGAAAGCUGACAUCGAGGCAAAAUCUAAACUUAGUCUUUUUCAAUCAAGAAUCAGUUUACAGAAGGCAAGUGUAAAGUUAAAAGCCCGGCGAUCUGAGUGUAAUUCCAAAGCUACCCACGCAAGGAAUGAUUAUCUUCUUACCCUAGCGGCAGCAAAUGCACAUCAGGAUCGCUACUAUCAAACAGAUUUAGUUAACAUUAUGAAGGUGCGGCAAACAUUUGUUAUCUAGUGGUUAUUGAUGUAGAAGAUACAAGAGUGAUGUAAGAAAUAAAAUAAUGACUCAAACUGGGAAA